AUUAAGGCCCUGUACGACUAAGCGCCGUGAAUUAUGUCAGGCGGGGAACCGAGCAGCAUUAAGCGGUUUUCUUGGUGCGAUGCAGAAAGUCUUGGUCGC
rnacentral:SRP_RNA from 1 species